GGCGCGGCCGGUACGGCACACACCUCCGGUAGGUGGCGGAGGGGCUACCGAUGUUCCCGUUGGGGUUCGAGGUGGAGAGAAGGGGCCAGCUUGGGAUCAGCGGUGAGGAGUAGGGGUAGAACGGAGAGAGUGGGUUCUAAGUCGGCGCGCACUGCGCCAGCAGCGGCUCAACGGCAGCACGUGUACCGGUGGCUGGGAGAGGGGCGGUGCGGCUGCUCGGGACCUCCUGACGGCAGCAGAUGGAGUGGGAGACGCGGUGGCCUAACCUCGGCCCUCGGGGGUAGAGGCAGCGGGUGUAGCAGAAACAGAGCCCAGCAGUGACAGUCGGCAGAAGCUAGGCGAGGUGGGGCUCGGAGAGGCCGUAGGGGCUCGAGCGAAAACGUGCUGAUGUCCCGGGGAACAACGUUGGUCUACCACCUAGGAACCUCGGUCUACGGUGGCGGCUGCCUACGACGAUGCACCUCUGGCGGCUACUGAUCCUCAUCAAUCCUCCAGGGUCCGUCCUCCGUAACGGAGAAGCUAGCAACUAAAAACACGAUCGGAAGAAUUCCUUAGGAACAGAUUGAAUACAGACAUGAGUCUAUAAUAACGAAGGCGACUGAGAACACAUAGCUCGAACAUAAGCUCGGGAGCUCCGGGGACCGAACAUUAUAUUUCGAACAUAAUAAAACUAAACACAGAUCUCAACACAACACUAUAGAAAGGCACUCAGGGACUAGAAAUAGCAUGUGCAAACGCACAUACUAAUCACAUGCCAACUUAUCCCCCGCAGUGUUUUGU
rnacentral:rRNA from 1 species